rnacentral:rRNA from 1 species
AGAGUUUGAUCCUGGCUCAGAACGAACGCUGGCGGCAGGCUUAACACAUGCAAGUCGAGCGCCCCGCAAGGGGAGCGGCAGACGGGUGAGUAACGCGUGGGAAUCUACCCAUCUCUACGGAACAACUCCGGGAAACUGGAGCUAAUACCGUAUACGUCCUUCGGGAGAAAGAUUUAUCGGAGAUGGAUGAGCCCGCGUUGGAUUAGCUAGUUGGUGGGGUAAUGGCCUACCAAGGCGACGAUCCAUAGCUGGUCUGAGAGGAUGAUCAGCCACACUGGGACUGAGACACGGCCCAGACUCCUACGGGAGGCAGCAGUGGGGAAUAUUGGACAAUGGGCGCAAGCCUGAUCCAGCCAUGCCGCGUGAGUGAUGAAGGCCCUAGGGUUGUAAAGCUCUUUCAACGGUGAAGAUAAUGACGGUAACCGUAGAAGAAGCCC